UACGUAGGGUGCGAGCGUUAAUCGGAAUUACUGGGCGUAAAGCGUGCGCAGGCGGUUUUGUAAGCCAGAUGUGAAAGCCCCGGGCUCAACCUGGGAAUGGCAUUUGGGACUGCAAGGCUUGAGUGCGGCAGAGGAGACUGGAAUUCCUGGUGUAGCAGUGAAAUGCGUAGAUAUCUGGAGGAAUACCGGUGGCGAAGGCGGCAUCCUGGACCGAGAUUGACACUGAUGAGCGAAAGCCAGGGGAGCAAACGGG
rnacentral:rRNA from 1 species